rnacentral:rRNA from 1 species
UACAGAGGGUGCAAGCGUUGCUCGGAAUCAUUGGGCGUAAAGGGCAAGUAGGUGGUCUCAUUUGUCUUGUGUGAAAUCCUUGGGCUUAACUCAAGAAGUGCGCAAGAAACGGUGAGACUCGAGUUCUGGAGAGGGUCGUGGAAUUCCCGGUGUAGCGGUGAAAUGCGUAGAGAUCGGGAGGAACACCAGAGGCGAAGGCGGCGACCUGGACAGACACUGACACUCAACUGCGAAAGCGUGGGGAGCAAACAGG